rnacentral:ribozyme from 1 species
UUUUCUUUUUCUUUUUUUCUUUUUUUCUUUUUUCUUUCCUUUUUUUUUUUUUAACCUGCCGUUGAGAUGGAGAGGCUGCAAGAAAGAGUCCUGAAGAAGAAAAGCCUGGAGUGCUGGAAGUAA